AUAGUUAUAAAUUUCAUCACUCGUAUAUACUCGGUAAUAUGGUCUGAGUGUCUCUACCUGGUUCCCAUUAAUGAACCGGACUACGGGUUAAAGUUUCGCGGUU
rnacentral:ncRNA from 2 species